UAUAGCCUAAUAAUUAAUAUAAAUUAUAAAUAAAUAAUAUAUAGAAUACAUAAUAAUAAUAAUAAUAAAAUAUACUUGUUCUUUUCAACCAUUCAACCAAACAACUAUAACUGAAAAUUAGUUUUCUUUUCCUAUAAACCAAAUACUAAAAAUCGUAAAAUAAAUUUUUCACAAAAAACUUUUUUUCGCUGAAAACUUUUUUUCGCAGUUUUACGUCAAACCAAACAGCCCCUAAAUCACAAGGGGGAAAGUGCAACUUUUCGACUACAGAGUGACAAAGUGAACAGGAGAUAAACCACAAGGGGAUAAUUUGAAAUUUAUGCUAAUUAAAUUACCAUGCUUGCUUCUUAGCUGAUCAAACCAUAAUUUUUAUAUAUAAAAAUUUAAGUAAAAACAUCAAAUACCAUCACUAUGGUUUCGCACUUUCUCACUUUAGUAUUCUGUGGUUUAAAAUGUAUAUUACUUUCUUACCUUGUUGUUUUAUUUUUCUCUUUCUAUUAUCCCCCGCUAAUUUUUUUCGUUAAAUCAGUGACAAAGUUAAAACUAAAGGGUACUAAAGUAAAUAUUCGAUAAACUAUAGAUGGGUAUCUGAAGUUUUCUGUAUAUGAUUUAACGAAAAAUUAACGAAGGGGCCGAUAAAAAAAGAAAAUAAAAUCAUAGAAUACUAAAUUAAUACACUUUAAAUUCUAAAAUAUUAAAGUGAAAAAGUGCGAAGCCGCAGGAGUGAUAUUUAAAGUUUACCCAAAAUAUAAAAAAUAGUAGCUAAAAUAUUGAAGUGUGAAACAGGG
rnacentral:lncRNA from 1 species